UAAAUAUCUGCUGUUCCAGGACAUUCUCUUAAUUGGAUCAAGGUGUUCUAGAGCCCAAAUACGAUUAUAAAACGUUUAGUCUUCAUGAUUUCUUUUUAUAAAGAUUUAUAUAAUCUCUACACUCAACGAGGGGCUCAAACUCAGGACCCCGAGAUCAAGAGUCGCAUGCUCCCCGGACUGAGCCAGCCAGGCUCCCAUACUCUUCGUGAUACAAUGUGAAAAUAAGUACUUGAGUGCUUAAGGCCUUUCACUGGAGGGGUAUGGCUUAAACCCCAAACUACUUGAAGAUGAGGAAAUCCCUGUUUCUUAUGUGACUCAAGCCUUUGCGUCAUUCUGAUCUACCAGUCUUGCCUGGUCAUGGAUCUAGCCUUAAGCCAUGGUCUGUACCUUUAACAUCUCACCCCCAACUGCACCCUAUUUGGCUGCCACAGGCCGGUAUCGCACAUCUCUUCUAGUUCCUCUGAUGGCCUAGCCCUUCUCUUAUUUCAUUCAUGUUCUUUCUCCCUCUUCCAUUAUCUCCACUUAAAGUGUGUCCCUCGCUUUCAGUGCCCAGGCUGUCCUCCUCGAGGUCCCUCCUAAUGUCACUUGUGUUGUCACCUACUUGCUUUCACCUUGCCUCACCUACUAAUCAUCACUUCCUAGGCUGUCACCCUCAUCACCUACCUGGCCCAGCCUGGCCCCACUGCCCCGACUGGAAAGGAAGCAUCGAAUCGCGGUCAGGGGGAACCCUCCCGGGUGGGGGCGCCAGGGGCGGGUCUUGCUCACCGCCCCCGCAGGGAAGCUGCGAGGAAUGCUUCAUCGCCCUCUGUGCCUGUUUUCCCCCUUCUGUUUUCUCCCAAUCCCACAAAACCACCACCCUCUUAUUCUCUCCGUGAGCGCCGGAAUCGCCUCUUGCUCUCAGUUGCGAGGAAAGGUCUCCCGGCAAAGGCAGAAAGGUGCCGCUCUACUUGAGAAUUGAAGUAUAAAGUGGGUGCUGGUGUCUGCGCAUCAGUGCACAGAACCUGGGCCAAGCCCUAGGUGAAGGGGCAGGGCGGUUGGCGCUGAGCCAAUCGUAGCUCGUGACGACAGGGCCCAGCCAAUCAGAACGCGGGAGGCUUGGGGCCCUCAGGGCGGGGCCGGACGGGUGGGAACCCGCCCCCUUGCAGCUAGCUCGGUGGCCAACGCCUUCGCCCAGGGUUUGCUGGAGACAAGCAGGUUCACAGACUCCAGGGACUGGGCACCUUGAGAGCUGGGAGACGGUGCCCUCCCACCCAACUAAUUUCUUUACAGGCCUUGGCCUUAACAGGCGUGUUGGUGCCUGCCGUGGACGCAUUCUGACCUGCGCUGUAUCCCUCUCGGGAGACUGUGCCGAUGGUUGGGGCAGAGUGAGGUCGUUGCCUUGACGACGGCAGCAUGCGGCCCGCGGACCCCCUGAGUGUGAGCCUGCGGCAGGCCGAGGCCAAUCUGCCUCCCUGCCUGAUUCGCCCCGGUCCGGUGACUGUGUCUCCAGGAGAAAUCAGACCAGCUCCGGAAUUGCUAGUUUGCUAAUCAGCAUCUUGUAGACCUGCGAGCGAGAUGCAUUUCAUCUCAAAUUUGUUUCCAAGUUGAAAACCUUUGGGUCUUUCCAUGUGAAAGGAUUUUAAAGAAACACAAGAAUUCCUACUGGUUUUGAAUUAAAAUGGAAAAAUAUGAGAACCUAGGAUUGGUUGGAGAAGGGAGCUAUGGAAUGGUGAUGAAGUGUAGGAAUAAAGAUAGUGGAAGAAUUGUGGCCAUCAAGAAGUUCUUAGAAAGUGAUGAUGACAAAAUGGUUAAAAAAAUUGCUAUGCGAGAAAUCAAGUUACUAAAGCAACUGAGGCAUGAAAAUCUGGUGAAUCUGUUGGAAGUGUGUAAGAAAAAAAAACGAUGGUACCUAGUCUUUGAAUUUGUUGACCAUACAAUUCUUGAUGACUUGGAGCUCUUUCCCAAUGGAUUAGACUACCAACUGGUUCAAAAGUAUUUGUUUCAGAUUAUUAAUGGAAUUGGAUUUUGUCACAGUCACAAUAUCAUACACAGAGAUAUAAAGCCAGAGAAUAUAUUAGUCUCCCAGUCUGGCGUUGUCAAGUUGUGUGAUUUUGGAUUUGCGCGAACAUUGGCAGCCCCUGGGGAAGUUUAUACUGAUUAUGUGGCAACCCGAUGGUACAGAGCUCCAGAACUAUUGGUUGGUGAUGUCAAGUAUGGCAAGGCUGUUGAUGUGUGGGCCAUUGGUUGUCUGGUGACUGAAAUGCUCAUGGGGGAACCCCUUUUUCCUGGAGAUUCUGAUAUUGAUCAGCUAUAUCAUAUUAUGAUGUGUUUAGGUAAUCUAAUUCCAAGACAUCAGGAGCUGUUUUAUAAAAAUCCUGUGUUUGCUGGAGUAAGGUUGCCGGAAAUCAAGGAAACAGAACCUCUUGAAAGACGCUAUCCCAAGCUCUCUGAAGUUGUGAUAGAUUUAGCAAAGAAAUGCUUACAUAUUGACCCAGACAAAAGACCCUUCUGUGCUGAGCUCCUCCAUCAUGAUUUCUUUCAUAUGGAUGGAUUUGCUGAGAGAUUUUCUCAGGAAUUACAAUUGAAAGUACAGAAAGAUGCCAGAAAUAUUUCUUUAUCUAAAAAAUCCCAAAACAGAAAGAAGGAAAAGGAAAAAGAUGAUUCCUUAUGUGAAGAGAGAAAAACACUUGUGGUACAGGAUACCAAUGCUGAUCCCAAAAUUAAGGAUUCUAAAGUAUUUAAAAUAAAAGGGUCAAAAAUGGAUGGAGAAAAGGUUGAAAAAGUCAGUCGAGCUUCAAAUACGAGCUGUCUCCCUGACAAUGGGAUGAGCCACCUCAGAACGGUGCCUCCUACCAACCUCCGAGAUUGCAGCGAUGGCAGUGUGGACCACUCUAGAAGUCCGGGCGUGGCAAUCCCUCGCCUUGCGCACAGCCUUGCUGGGGUGGCUCCCGGUAUUAAUUCUGGAAUGGUGACUAUCCCAGGAGUUCCGAGUUACAGAGUGGAUGAGAAAACCAAGAAGUAUUGUAUUCCAUUUGUUAAACCAAAUAAACAUUCUCCAUCAGGCAUUUAUAAUAUUAAUGUGACCUCAUCAGUCACUAGUGAAAAGAGCCUACUUGAGGCAAAUAAGAAAAGAAGGGAAUACUCUAAGACAGAUGUCCGUUUGCCUGAACUAAACUAUAAUCAUCUCCCUGAACUAAGAGCCUUGGAAGGCAUAGCUCGAAAUUCCAGGUUAAUAAGGAAAGAGAACAAAAAUCUUUCAGAAUCUCGAAUUCCUUCUCUGGCCACUAUUGACUUGCACACGCCCAGUAUUGCAUUACAUCAGAAUACUUGUGUUUCUGCUGCUUCAACAACAGUCGUAUCACCCAUUUUCACAUUAAGAAAACAGGCAGACUUUUAAGUUUCCUGAGCCAACCAUAACUAGUUGUAAACGUUGGAUAUGCAUCAUCGCACUUACAGAUUUCUCACCUCUCCUUGACGCUGGACAACUUUUGUUUUGGAAUUUAAUUCUGCAUCCUCGUUAUUGAAGCAUUUCUGUUCCCUAGAAAGCACCUGUAUCAGGAUCUCCCCUGUCAGAUGAUUCGGAGGCUGAUUUGCGUCGAAUGGAACACCAGCACUGAGAAUCAUUUUGGUUCUGAACUGGAUGCUGCUUUAGCCCUUGAGAUGACAUCGUCUUGCCACAAAAGUGCUGAUAUCCUACAAAGAGAGAUUCGUGGGUUUGUCCUUUACUUCGGAACUGCCUGCAUUUUCUGAGAAAGGCCUUGCAGAAGAAAAAAGACAAAGACUUCCAAGUGUUUCCCAGGAAGCCCCUCCCCGACUGAUAUCCUGUCACCUUUCAAGUCCACUGUUGCUAUUUCAAGAUAUAUCCGAUGGAAGAAUAGUGAUAUGGUUCUUGUUACAUGAAUGUGUAUUUACUAUUAGUAGAUUGUGCAUUUAAAAUUACCCAAGAUUAAAAAUGAGUUUAAAAAGGGACAAAGAAACAUUAUAAUGGUCAUGUUAUAUGAACUUUCUGUGUUAUCUGUAUAAACGUGUACAUUUAUUUAGGAAUGGGUUUGGUGGAGGAGGUGAUAACAACUAGGAUCUGUUGAAGAAAUGAAAAAAUUAGGAUCAGUAAGAGAAAAUGUUUCCUUUACCCUAAUUUAACUAUAAAUAUACAUUUAAAAAGCUUGCUUGUUUCUAGGCUUUAAGGAGAUAUGUAAUUGCUCUCUAUAGAUAGACAUAUGUCUUUGGUUUCUGUGAUUAUUGUUGAUGUUUGAUCAUUAUAUUAUGGGAAUCUGACCUCUCUGCUGAUUUUCUAAGAACCACACUGAUGCAAAUUUCUCAAAGAAACCUUUUAUGUCUAAUGAUUUAGUGUGACUCUGACCUUAGAUAGUCUUCUUUAUUGUAAGAUUCUGGUGCCAGUGUUCCUGCAUGCAGGAACAGGAUUGAACUAAGAAUGGUAAAGGAGAAUUUUGUAGGUAAUCUUUCGAGUUGAGGACUAUGCUUGUCAUUGAGAAAGGAAGUAUAUACAUACAGAAUUAGGAGAUGGGAAGCUGGCUUACCGACUGACUUGGACUGAUUACUUUUCUCUUGGCCAAUUACUGUUGAACUCCACUCUGAAGAGGCUUUGGGAAGGAAAUGUCCUCUGUUAUGGACUUCACUCCUGUCUGCUGAUAGUUUGAAGGUGAUAGCAGACAGCACCCAGAGGGGUUCCCGUCUUCUCGUUUCCUCAAACCCUUAGGCCUUCCCGAAAGUUCUUCAUCAACAGGCAAAACUGUCUACCUACAGUCCACACAUCUUUUCUCGUGCCCCAGUCCACGACUUUCAGGUGGGAAGCUUAAGCCAGUUUGGCUCUAGGUUUUUGAUUUCUAGUGUGCUGGUCAUACUUGGCAUUUAUUGUUUUAGAGAAUGGUUGUUAAGGGGACCAGAAUUUGUGUGGGAUUUUUGCCUUAACCAGUUGACAAUGUGUUGUUUUUUUCCAAAAGGCACUGAUUAGUACUUAGCCCAAGAAUUUAACUAGCACUUUUCUCUCUUACUCUGCGGAGCUUAAUAUUGAAAUUCUGACUUUAGAUACUUGGUCCUCAGAAGAGCAGGACAUUCAGGAGGAGGCCAAUUGAGGGAUUCCAAAGUAGAAGUCUAUAGGUGGUUCAAUUAAAAUUCGGUCUUGAUUUUGAAGCUCUAUUUUUAACCUCUGACCAGGUGUUUGACUAGAUUGGUAUGACUAACAUGGUAGACAAAAUUAAUGUGUAGGCAUGAAUAGGCUUCACACUGAGAUAUUGUUUUAUUUUUACUUUAAAAAGUAUUGCCAACAGACUGUA